UACGUAGGGGGCGAGCGUUGUCCGGAGUUACUGGGCGUAAAGGGCAUGCAGGCGGUCUGGCGCGUUUUGUGUGACAGCGGGUGGCUCAACUACCCGAGCAUGCGAAAGACGGUUGGACUUGAGGGCUCGAGAGGGACACGGAAUUCCGGGUGGAGUGGUGAAAUGCGUAGAGAUCCGGAGGAACACCGAAGGCGAAGGCAGUGUCCUGGCGAGUGACUGACGCUGAGGUGCGAAAGCCAGGGGAGCGAACGGG
rnacentral:rRNA from 1 species